GGUGCUGAGGCUAAGUGGUUAAGGCGCCUGUCUCGUAAACAGGAGAUCCUGGGUUCAAAACCCAGCAGUGCCU